rnacentral:rRNA from 1 species
UACGUAGGGACCGAGCGUUGUCCGGAAUCAUUGGGCGUAAAGAGCGUGUAGGCGGCCUUUUAAGUCCUGCGUGAAAUCCUGCGGCUCAACCGCAGACGGUCGUGGGAAACUGGAAGGCUAGAGUGCGGGAGAGGAGAGUGGAAUUCCCGGUGUAGCGGUGAAAUGCGCAGAUAUCGGGAGGAACACCGGUGGCGAAGGCGGUUCUCUGGGCCUUAACUGACGCUGAGGAGCGAAAGCGUGGGGAGCGAACAGG